rnacentral:lncRNA from 1 species
UAUAUGUGUGUGUGUGUAUAUGUAUAUAUAUGUGUGUAUGUAUAUAUAUAUGUAUGUAUAUAUAUAUAUAUAUAUAUGUAUAUAUACAUAGAAUUUUGCGUGUACACGCAUACACACACAUGUACCUGAGUAUAUAAAAAUAUGUGUGUGCACAAACUUAUAUAUUGCUAUACUACACACAUGAACAUAUACAUAUGUAUAUACCAAUUUAUACUUACACAUGCAUACAUGUGUGUGUGUAUGUAUGGAUUUAUGUUUGUAUGUACGUAUGUAUAUACAUACCAGUAUACUAGUAUACAUAAACGUGUGUGUGUGUGCACGUGUGAGAGCAGAAACACACAUAUACUGCUUGCACGUAGAUCUGCGCAAAGAGCCGACAGAAGGGAUAUCUCUGGUGUCAAAACCAAAGUGUUAUCAACGAGAAUCCUUUGGACAAAUAUUAUUCUUGAGUUAAUCAAUUUGGUCAUUUUUGUCAGAAGGAUGACUACAAUGUUAGUCUGGCCAAUUGAUGUGGAGUACAGCCGGUCCCAGGGGACUGGUCAAUGUAUGAGUCGCUGAGCCUAUUGCUUAUAACAGCAGGUUAGGUAGGGAUUGCAGGCAACAGUCUUAAUAGUGAUGAGAAUGGAGGAAGGAUUGUGUGAGAGUGGGAGAAGAAGGAGGCUGGAAUGAGAAAGAGUGAGGAGAGGAAUAUUUAAAGAAUCAGAGAAGGGUAAACAGUGAUGAUGGGAAAGGUAAAUGGACAGACAGACAGGCAGAGAGACAAAUAGAUAAAUGGACUGACAGGUAGAUAGACAGAUACAUACAUACAUACACACGCACACAUACAUACAUACAUAGAAAGAUAGAUACAUACAUACAUAGAGAGAUAGAGGGUGAGAGAGAGAGAAGUAAAUAGAUGGGUGUAGUUAGAUAGAUAGGUGUGGUUAGAUAGACAGGUAAAGAGCGGGGGAGAGAGAAGUUAAUAGAUAGGUGUAGUUAGAUAGAGGGAUAGACAGUAGGCAA